UGCAAGCGUUGUCCGGAUUUAUUGGGCGUAAAGAGUUCGUAGGCGGUUUGUCGCGUCUGCUGUGAAAACCUGGGGCUUAACCCCGGGCCUGCAGUGGGUACGGGCAGACUAGAGUGUGGUAGGGGAGACUGGAAUUCCUGGUGUAGCGGUGAAAUGCGCAGAUAUCAGGAGGAACACCGGUGGCGAAGGCGGAUCUCUGGGCCAUAACUGACGCUGAGGAGCGAAAGCGUGGGGAGCGAACAGG
rnacentral:rRNA from 1 species